CUUCCGUAGGUGAACCUGCGGAAGGAUCAUUACCGAGUUUUCGAGCUCCGGCUCGACUCUCCCACCCUUUGUGAACGUACCUCUGUUGCUUUGGCGGCUCCGGCCGCCAAAGGACCUUCAAACUCCAGUCAGUAAACGCAGACGUCUGAUAAACAAGUUAAUAAACUAAAACUUUCAACAACGGAUCUCUUGGUUCUGGCAUCGAUGAAGAACGCAGCGAAAUGCGAUAAGUAAUGUGAAUUGCAGAAUUCAGUGAAUCAUCGAAUCUUUGAACGCACAUUGCGCCCCUUGGUAUUCCGGGGGGCAUGCCUGUUCGAGCGUCAUUACAACCCUCAAGCUCUGCUUGGAAUUGGGCACCGUCCUCACUGCGGACGCGCCUCAAAGACCUCGGCGGUGGCUGUUCAGCCCUCAAGCGUAGUAGAAUACACCUCGCUUUGGAGCGGUUGGCGUCGCCCGCCGGACGAACCUUCGUGAACUUUAUCUCAAGGUUGACCUCGGAUCAGGUAGGGAUACCCGCUGAACUUAAGCAUAUCAAUAAGCGGAGGAA
rnacentral:rRNA from 1 species